UACGAAGGGUGCAAGCGUUGUUCGGAUUUAUUGGGCGUAAAGCGCGCGCAGGCGGGCAAUUAAGCCAGAUGUGAAAUCUCGGGGCUCAACCCCGAAACUGCGUCUGGAACUGGUUGCCUAGAAUCUCGGAGGGGGAAGGAGAAUUUCGCAUGUAGGGGUAAAAUCCGUAGAGAUGCGAAGGAACACCAGAGGCGAAGGCGCCUUCCUGGACGAGUAUUGACGCUGAGGCGCGAAAGCGUGGGGAGCAAAC
rnacentral:rRNA from 1 species